CUGUAUAUAAGAUGGACGCCGUGGUUCCGCCUUCCGCCUGUAUACGGAUUUGAAGCCAAAAAGCUCUCGGUAAUUCCGGGUUCCUUGCAACCAGAGCUGCGCAGUAGCGUUGUACGCAGACGUUUUUGGCUGGACGGGAGACUCGGCGCGAUGACGUUCCGCUCAAAAAGUGCCCCCCCCCGGAUGUCCUUCCAGCCUUACAUCGGUAUCGCUAAUAGCUUCCCCGCUCGUCGCGACCAAGAAUAAGUAAGUUCCACUUCUCCUGAUAUAAUAUGAAAUUUGUGAGCGUACUAACUUUUAAGAACAUAAAAUACCAUCAUAACUAAUACGAAUAAAGAUAUCAUCUAUUACUUGAUUGGAAGUAAGUCAUCUCUCUUUGUUGAAAGAAACGGUGUAAAUGUAAGCUAAAGUAGCAUUGCAAUUUAACACUAGCCUUGGUAAAUUAAUCAGCAAAAUACGUGAUAUUUUUAGUUUAUCAGUUGUUAAGAUAUAUGCUAUUGUCCUGUGAUUAAAAAUGAACAAAAUUCUGAAUGAACAGCAAAUAUUUAUGUUGUUCUCCUUUUUUUAGACAAAGAGAAAAGAAGCUUCAAAGAUGAGCACAACAUCAGCCACUGUGACCAGAAGUAAGGAUAAAAAUUCAUUGAGAUGGAUGCUGAUUUAGUUGGAUAUGAUUUUAGUCAGACUUUUAUUAGGUAAUGUUAUAAAUAUUUUUUUUUGUGAUGUAACAACAGCAAGCUCAAGUUUUCAAUUCCAAAUGAUAUCUACUGUAAAAAAUAUUAAACAGCUUGUGAUUCAGCAUGAUGUGGAAUCAUGCUGAAUCACAAGCCAUGCAAGGUUUUGUAGGAAAAUGACUUUUUUUUUUUCUUUUAUUGUUCAAUACAUUUACAGAAAUUAAACAGCAGGACCUCCAGGAUCUCCAUCGGCAGUUCCCCACCGUGAGGAUCAUCUUCUCUGCCAUCACUCAGAGGAACCGAUGGAGAUACAGCCCCAAGAAAAUGGACAAAGCCAGGCGCUAUGUGAACAGUGUGAUGGCUACUUUUGUUUCAUCUGUUGGAGGAAGCAUUGUGCAUCAUCCUCAAAUAAAGCACAGAGAUCAGGGCCUUAUUUUAAACUAAUGGAGUUCAUUUCACCACUUUGGGUAAUGACAUUUUUUUAAAUAAUAGUGCCUUGUGUUUGAAAGACCAAAUCUAGUAGGGUGGUGCUAGAUUUGGGAUUUCACCUACAAUAGGCAGCAAAAAAUGGUCAGGAUUUAUCUGCUUUAUUUGUGAUUGAUGUGCACAUUUUGUUUAAUUGUUUACACAAGCACAAUUUUGUGAAUUUUGUUUUACAAAGGUAACCAUCACACUGUUCAAUUCUGUCACAGCUCUUCCUCCUUCUCUCUCUCUCUCUGUCUUACAAACCUUCUGCC